GGUUCCGUAGGUGAACCUGCGGAGGAUCAUUAAUAAUGCAAGGGGGCUGCCGCCCAAGGUGGUCCUCAGAGCACCAAACCAGUACUGAGUACAAUGCCAUGUUGCUUCCCCAGGCCAGCGGCCAUGGUUGCCCGUCAGCGAGCCACAGUUGUGGAUUCAUUGGAUGGAGGUGCUUGGGGGUGGGGCUUCUGAUACCCCUUUAACCUAUGUGACAAGAGGAUGAAGCUGUCUGAUAGGCGCCACAUGGGCUGUCAAAAAAUUGGAAAAAGUUAAAACUUUCAACAACGGAUCUCUUGGCUCUCGCAUCGAUGAAGAACGCAGCGAAAUGCGAUAGGUAAUGUGAAUUGCAGAACUCAGUGAAUCAUCGAAUCUUUGAACGCACAUUGCGCCCUGGGGCAUUCCUCAGGGCAUGCCUGUCCGAGCGUCAUUAAAAACUCCUUCACGGAAUAUGUGGUGCUGGCGGAGGUGACUGGAUCGUGUGGUGUAGACGGGUACGGCUCCAGUCACCCUGCCGAAAUGCAUGGGGAGGAACACGUGUAAUGGUGGACCCGACUUGGUAGACGUUGUGAUGAGCGUAAAGCAGUCGUGGACCUGUCACGUCCCCUCCAGCCCGGAGCCAGGAGUGGCCCCCUUGGGUGUCUUGUCAGGUUUGACCUCGGAUCAGGUAGGGAUACCCGCUGAACUUAAGCAUAUCAAUAAGCGGAGAAAGA
rnacentral:rRNA from 1 species